rnacentral:misc_RNA from 1 species
CAGGUUCGCCCCCUGAUGGUCUCGCCA